rnacentral:rRNA from 1 species
UACGUAGGCAGCAAGCGUUGUUCGGAGUUACUGGGCGUAAAGGGUGUGUAGGCGGUUGUUUAAGUUUGGUGUGAAAUCUCCCGGCUCAACUGGGAGGGUGCGCCGAAUACUGAAUGACUCGAGUGCGGGAGAGGAAAGUGGAAUUCCUGGUGUAGCGGUGAAAUGCGCAGAUAUCGGGAGGAACACCAAUGGCGAAGGCAGCUCGCUGGGACGGUACUGACGCUGAGGCGCGAAAGCGUGGGAGCAACAGG